rnacentral:rRNA from 1 species
AUUGAACGCUGGCGGCAUGCUUACACAUGCAAGUCGGACGAGUGGCGAACGGGUGCGUUAUACAUCGGUACGUGUCCUUUAGUGGGGGAUAGCCCGGCGACAGCCGGUUAAUACCGCAUACUAUAGGGGCGGCCGAUGGCGGAUUAGCUAGUUGUGGGGGUAAAGGCCUACCAAGGCGACGAUCCGUAGCUGUUCUGAGAGGACGACCAGCCCCACUGGGACGGAGACACGUCCCGGACUCCUGCGGGAGGCAGCAGUGGGGAAUUUUGGACAAUGGGGGAAACCCUGAUCCAGCAAUGCCGCGUGUGUGAAGAAGGCUUCGGGUUGUAAAGCACUUUUGUCCGGAAAGCGGUACCGGAAGAAUAAGCACCGGCUAACUACGUGCCAGCAGCCGCGGUAAUG